AACGAACGCUGGCGGCAUGCCUAACACAUGCAAGUCGAACGAGAUCUUCGGGUCUAGUGGCGCACGGGUGCGUAACGCGUGGGAACCUGCCCUUAGGUUCGGAAUAACUCCCCGAAAGGGGUGCUAAUACCGGAUAAUGUCUUCGGACCAAAGAUUUAUCGCCUUUGGAUGGGCCCGCGUUGGAUUAGCUAGUUGGUAGGGUAAAAGCCUACCAAGGCGACGAUCCAUAGCUGGUCUGAGAGGAGGAUCAGCCACACUGGGACUGAGACACGGCCCAGACUCCUACGGGAGGAAGCGGUGGGGAAUAUUGGACAAUGGGCGAAAGGCUGAUCCAGCAAGGCCGCGUGAGUGAUGAAGGCCUUAGGGUUGUAAAGCGCUUUUAACCGGGAUGAUAAUGACAGUACCGGGAGAAUAAGCUCCGGCUAACUCCGUG
rnacentral:rRNA from 1 species